rnacentral:rRNA from 1 species
GACGAACGCUGGCGGCGUGCUUAACACAUGCAAGUCGAACGAAGUGGCGAACGGGUGAGUAACGCGUAAUCAACCUGCCCUUCAGAGGGGGACAACAGUUGGAAACGACUGCUAAUACCGCAUACUGAAGGAGGGGAUUGCGUUUGAUUAGCUAGUUGGAGGGGUAACGGCCCACCAAGGCGAGGAUCAGUAGGCGGUCAGAGAGGAUGAACGAGAACAUGGGGUGUGGGACACGGCCCAGAAUCAUACGGGAGGGAGCAGUCGGGAGUCUUCCGCAAUGGACGAAAGUCUGACGGAGCAACGCCGCGGGAGUGAUGACAGGCUUCGGGUUGUAAAGCUCUGUUAAUCGGGACGCGGUACCGGAAUAGAAAGCCACGGCUAACUACGUGCCAGCAGCCGCGGUAAUAC